GCUGGGUCUGGUGGCACCAAAAUCCAGCACUGUGAGAUCACAGUGGGCCAUCCUCACCCACGGCACACGUCCCUGGGGCUCCUGCAGAACAACUGCCCGCUGCAUCCCCCUUUGGCUUGUGCAAAGAAAGUCACAAUACAUUGAAACUGAAAGGAUAAACUUCUGGAAAGUGAGACAUUCUCUGAAGAAAACAAAUCUGGACAGGAGUUAUACCUGGCAAAGAUAUCUGCACUGGCCAGCUUCUGCAGUUUCUGAUAGGGAGAGGUACUGUAUAAACAACCACGAACUAAUAAAAUUGUAGCAUAUUUCUCUGCCACCGGAUCAGCCUGAAUGAUGAAGAAAACAAAAUAAAUGGGCUUCAAAAUCCA
rnacentral:lncRNA from 1 species